rnacentral:piRNA from 1 species
UAUAUAUAAAUAAAAGCAGACUGCAUUUUC